rnacentral:rRNA from 1 species
GUAGGGGGCAAGCGUUAUCCGGAUUUACUGGGUGUAAAGGGAGCGUANACGGUGUGGCAAGUCUGAUGUGAAAGGCAUGGGCUCAACCUGUGGACUGCAUUGGAAACUGUCAUACUUGAGUGCCGGAGGGGUAAGCGGAAUUCCUAGUGUAGCGGUGAAAUGCGUAGAGAUUAGGAAGAACACCAGUGGCGAAGGCGACUCUCUGGACUGUAACUGACGCUGAGGCUCGAAAGCGUGGGGAGCAAACAGGAUUAGAUACCCUGGUAGUCCACGCUGUAAACGAUGAAUACUAGGUGUGCGGGGACUGACCCCCUGCGUGCCGCAGUUAACACAAUAAGUAUUCCACCUGGGGAGU